GACGAACGCUGGCGGCGUGCUUAACACAUGCAAGUCGAACGGAAAGACCCUGCUUUUGUGGGGUGCUCGAGUGGCGAACGGGUGAGUAACACGUGAGUAACCUGCCCUUGACUUUGGGAUAACUUCAGGAAACUGGGGCUAAUACCGGAUAGGAGCUCCUGCUGCAUGGUGGGGGUUGGAAAGUUUCGGCGGUUGGGGAUGGACUCGCGGCUUAUCAGCUUGUUGGUGGGGUAGUGGCUUACCAAGGCUUUGACGGGUAGCCGGCCUGAGAGGGUGACCGGCAAAAUGGGGACUGAGAUCAGGCCGAGACUCCUACGGGAGGAAGGAGGGGGGAAUAUUGAAAAAGGGGGGGAAGCCGGAUGCAGCAACCCCGGGGGCGGGAUGACGGCCUUCGGGUUGUAAACCGCUUUCGCCUGGGACGAAGGGGGAGGGACGGAAAGGGGAAAAGAAGCACCGGCUAACUAAGU
rnacentral:rRNA from 1 species